AGCAAUUUGGCGCAGUGGAAGCGCGGUAUGUCCACCAUUAUCUGCAUAUGAAAAUCCUUACUAACAGCCGCAGCCGGGCUCAUAACCCGGAGGUCGCACGAUCGAAACGUGCAAUUGCUA